UCAAGUUACUAAUAAUCAUCAUUAUAGUGCAAUCUGAAGUCUUAUACUUGUGUCAUUCUUCCUUUUUCUACACAGAAAGUGACAGAUGAAUACAUGAAGAAGAUUGAUAUUGUCUUCAAGCAGAAGGAGAAGGAACUGCUGAAAGUUUGACAACAGUUCUGUUCAAUGUGUAUAUGGAGUUUGUGCAGUAAUGAAGCUUUUCUUGGAAGGUUUAUGUGGUGCAAUAGGCUUGUCACAUACCUUUGUAAAAAAAACUACGUUUAAUUUUCAGUUGUAAAGAUCACUCAGGAACUGGAAUGGUCCCUGUUAAUUUUGUUAGGAAUUUCUUUUUUACACCCAAAAGAAGUUAAAUCUGCUUGUAGCGACAUAAUUUGCACUGCUUGAGGCUGCUGGAUUUUGUAACUACAGGAUUCAGAAUGAAAUCGUACUUGCUGAUGGUAGAAUAUCUACUUUCACUGCUCUUCUUUUGUA